CAUACUAUAGUUGUCAUGGUAGAAUUGUUAGUUGUGUUUUUAUGGUAGAAUUGUUAGAUGUGUGUUUUGUGUGCACAUGAAGAGUCUGGGGAGUUUAGUUGUUGGGUUGGGCUCUGUAUCGUGACUUUCACUACUGGACUAAAUGUCAUCAUAUGAUUUGUGCUCAAUAAAAAUGAUUUACUAUUUUACU